GGCUUCGGCCCGCCGCCGGGGACCCAAACCUCUAUAUUAUGCCCCCGGGCUAAGUACAUGUCUCUCUGAGUAACUGAAAUAAAUCAAAACCUUUANCAACGGAUCUCUUGGCUCUGGCAUCGAUGAAGAACGCAGCGAAGUGCGAAAAGUAAUGUGAAUUGCAGAAUUCACUGAACCAUCGAAUCUUUGAACGCACAUUGCCCCCGCUGGAACUCCGGCGGGCAUGCCUGUCCGAGCGUCAUUUCAACCCUCAGGCCCCCCUUCCGGGGGCGGGCCUGGUGUUGGGGCUCGGCCGCUACCCUGCGGCCGUCCCCUAAAUUCAGUGGCGGCCCCGCUGCAAUCCCUUGCGUAGUACUGUACCUCGCACCGGAGCGCGCCGUGGCCACGCCUCUAAAACCCCAAACUUCAAUGGUUGACCUC
rnacentral:rRNA from 1 species